rnacentral:rRNA from 1 species
GAUGAACGCUGGCGGUCUGCUUAACACAUGCAAGUCGAACGGUGAACCCUCGGGUUCAUAGUGGCGGACGGGUGAGUAACACGUGAGAAUCUGCCUUCAGGUCGGGGACAACGGCGGGAAACUGCUGCUAAUACCCGAUGUGCCUACGGGUGAAAGAUUAAUUGCCUGAAGAUGAGCUCGCGUCCGAUUAGCUAGUUGGUGGGGUAAAAGCCUACCAAGGCGACGAUCGGUAGCUGGUCUGAGAGGAUGAGCAGCCACACUGGGACUGAGACACGGCCCAGACUCCUACGGGAGGCAGCAGUGGGGAAUUUUCCGCAAUGGGCGAAAGCCUGACGGAGCAAGACCGCGUGGGGGAUGAAGGCUCUUGGGUUGUAAACCCCUUUUCUCAGGGAAGAAGUUCUGACGGUACCUGAGGAAUCAGCAUCGGCUAACUCCGUGCCAGCCGCCGCGGUAACAC